AUGGGUGAAACCCAGGGGUCCACGCGGAUCCUAGUAACAGGGGGCUCUGGACUGGUGGGCAGAGCUAUCCAGAAGGUGAUAGCAGAUGGGGCUGGCCUUCCUGGAGAGGACUGGGUAUUUGUCUCCUCCAAGGAUGCUGAUCUCACAGAUGCAGCACAGACCUGAGCCCUUUUUGAAAAGGUCCAACCCACACAUGUCAUUCAUCUUGCUGCAACGGUGGGGGGUCUGUUCCGGAACAUCAAAUACAAUUUGGACUUCUGGAGAAAAAAUGUGCACAUCAACGACAAUGUUCUGCAUUCGGCCUUUGAGGUGGGCGCCUGCAAGGUGGUAUCCUGCCUGUCCACUUGUACCUUUCCUGACAAAACUACCUAUCCUAUUGAUGAGACCGUGAUUCACAACGGACCACCACACAGCAGCAAUUUUGGGUAUUCAUCUGCCAAGAGGAUAAUCGAUGUGCAGAACAAGGCCUACUUCCAGCAACACGGCUGCACCCUCACUGCUGUCAUCCCCACCAACGCCUUCGGGCCCCACGAUAACUUCAACAUCGAAGACGGCCAUGUGCUGCCUGGCCUCAUCCACAAGGUGCACCUGGCCAAGAGCAGCAGCUCAGCCCUGACAGUGUGGGGUACAGGGAAGCCACGGAGGCAGUUCAUAUACUCGCUGGACCUGACCCAGCUCUUUAUCUGGGUCUUGCAGAAGUACAACGAGGUGGAACCCAUCAUCUUUUCAGUGGGUAAGGAAGAUGAGGUCUCUAUCAAGGAGGCAGCUGAGGCAGUGGUGGAGGCCAUGGACUUCCAUGGGGAAGUUACUUUUGAUGCAACCAAGUCAGACAGGCAGUUUUAGAAGACAGCCAGUAACAGCAAGCUGCGUGCCUACCUGCCCGACUUCCACUUCACACCCUUCAAGCAGGCUGUGAAGGAGAUGAGUACUUGGUUCACUGACAACUAUGAGCAAGCCCGGAAGUGAAGCCGGACGGUGGGACAAGUGCCAGCGAGUGCUCAGCUAACAGAGCCCAGUGGCUACUACCCUCAGACCCCGCCAGGAGCUGAGGGCACUGCCCAGCAACCU